UCAGACCUGAUCCACAAUCAGACAAGCUCAGAUAUCAGAAUCGUCUACUGAUGCUGAAUCCAAUUCAAGAAUGAAGAAGAUCCUGCUGGUGACUCUGCUUCUCGCUGGGAUGAUGAUGAGUGGUUAUGCCCUACGGUGUAACUCCUUCCCUGGCUAUCCAUUCAUUGAAAACUGCUCCCCUGAAAAAAAUGCCUGCUUCAGUAGUAAAAGGCUGUUUUUCGGGGGUGGCCAGGCGAGAUGCAUGAGACUGAAAGAGUGUAAGCAAAUGCAGAAGGAAUCCAAUGUGCCUAUCUUGUGUUGUCAGAGAGACCUCUGCAACACUAUUUAGCCACUCAACUAAGCUCGCAAGCUUGGAAAAGGCAAAUGAAAAUUGUAGAAUUAGUAAUAAAGAUGAUCUGCAUAUGAU
rnacentral:lncRNA from 1 species